UCUUGGUUUUAAAUUAAUAUAUUAUAUUUACCAGAGUACUAUGAACAUAAUAAAGUUUAAAACUCAAAGGGCUUGGCGGUAUUUUAGACCUCUUAGGGGAACCUGUCUCGUAAUCGAUAAUCCACGAUAUACCUGACCUUUUUUUGUAUGCAGCUUGUAUACCGUUGUCGUCAGGUAACUUUUUAGAAAUUAAGAGUUAGCUAUAAGUUCGUAUAAACUGAAACGUCAAAUCAAGGUGCAGCCUAUAAAAAGGCGAGGAUGGGUUACAAUUAUUGAUUUAUAAUACGAAAAGAUCUUAGAAUUAAGAGCUUGAAGGAGGACUUGAAAGUAAAAUACAUUAUAUAGAUAUUUUGAAUAAGGCUCUGAAAUGUGC
rnacentral:rRNA from 1 species